rnacentral:lncRNA from 1 species
CCGCGCCGGACUGAGGCUGUGCGCCCGAGACUCCGGGUCCCCAGGGGCUGCGCCGGGCCGGCCUGGCAAGGGGGACGAGUCAGUGGACACUCCAGGAAGAGCGGCCCCGCGGGGGGCGAUGACCGUGCGCUGACCCUGACUCACUCCAGCUGCCUCCUGAGCUCUUUAUAAACACUGGCAUUCUGGCUGAGAAAGACUCGCCAACAUCCAAGAGUGGCAAAGGGGAACAG